CGGGACGUAGCUCAGCCUGGUAGAGCGCUUGCUUUGGGAGCAAGAAGUCGUGAGUUCGAAUCUCGCCGUCCCGACCA
rnacentral:tRNA from 3 species